rnacentral:lncRNA from 1 species
UUUUUCAAGAAAAUGUCAUAAAAUGAUCACACUAUUGGAAAAUUCUAAUGUAUUUAAACUAUGUACAAUAAAUGUUGGAAAUUCCGCCUUAAUUGCCACCUUUGGUUAGCCUUAAUUGCAGCCUCCAACACCUUCAUUGUGUUGGCUUUGAGGGGGUGAAUUUAGUCCCACAUCGGAUAGAUAACACUCUUGAGAAGAGUUUAUAAAGAGGAGGCACUCCUCACCUUACAAGUCGGUUUUGUAAGGAUGAGUUAGGCCCCAAAUUUCAACAUGGUAUCAGAGCUUAUCCUAGAUCUAUCUUGGGCUUCCCGCAUCGUCCGGGCUGAAGCGUGAGGGAGUGUGUUGGAAAUUCCGCCUUAAUUGCGGUCCGCCCCUAGUCGCCUAAAUUGCGACCUUUGGUUAGCCUUAAUUGCAGCCUCCAACACCUUCAGGCCCCAAAUUUCAACAUCGUAUCAGAGUCUAUCCUAGAUCUAUCGUUGAGCUUCCCGCAUCGUCCACGCUUCAGGCCCAUUAGGCCGGGCUGAAGCGUGAGGGGGUGUGUUGGAAAUUCGCCUUAAUUGCGGUCCGCCCCUAGUCGCCUAAAUUGCGACCUUUGGUUAGCCUUAAUUGCAGCCUCCAACACCUUCAUUGUGUUGGCUUUGAGGGGGUGGAUUUAGUCCACGUCGGAUAGAUAGCACUCUUGAGAAGAGUUUAUAAAGAGGAGGCACUCCUCACCUUACAAGCCAGUUAGGCCCCAAAUUUCAACAUAAUUGCGACCUUUGGUUAGCCUUAAUUGCAGCCUCCAACACCUUCAUUGUGUUGGCUUUGAGGGGGUGGAUUUAGUCCCACAUCGGAUAGAUAACACUCUUGAGAAGAGUUUAUAAUGAGGAGGCACUCCUCACCUUACAAGCCGGUUUUGUAAGGAUGAGUUAGACCCCAAAUUUCAACAAUAAAGAAUGAAGAUAUCCUAGUCAGAUUGAAGCCUUUCAUAUUCUAAAGUUUCAUCUUUGUUUUGUUUCA